rnacentral:rRNA from 1 species
AGAGUUUGAUUAGGGCUCAGAUUGAACGCUGGCGGCAGGCUUAACACAUGCAAGUCGAGCGGCAGCGGAAAGAAGCUUGCUUCUUUGCCGGCGAGCGGCGGACGGGUGAGUAAUGUCUGGGGAUCUGCCCGAUGGAGGGGGAUAACUACUGGAAACGGUAGCUAAUACCGCAUAAUGUCGCAAGACCAAAGUGGGGGACCUUCGGGCCUCACACCAUCGGAUGAACCCAGAUGGGAUUAGCUAGUAGGUGGGGUAAUGGCUCACCUAGGCGACGAUCCCUAGCUGGUCUGAGAGGAUGACCAGCCACACUGGAACUGAGACACGGUCCAGACUCCUACGGGAGGCAGCAGUGGGGAAUAUUGCACAAUAGGGGAAACCCUGAUGCAGCCAUGCCGCGUGUGUGAAGAAGGCCUUCGGGUUGUAAAGCACUUUCAGCGGGGAGGAAGGCAAUGGCGUUAAUAGUGUCAUUGAUUGACGUUACCCGCAGAAGAAGCACCGGCUAACUCCGUGCCAGCAGCCGCGGUAAUACGGAGGGUGCGAGCGUUAAUCGGAAUUACUGGGCGUAAAGCGUACGCAGGCGGUCUGUUAAGUCAGAUGUGAAAUCCCCGGGCUUAACCUGGGAACUGCAUUUGAAACUGGCAGGCUAGAGUCUCGUAGAGGGGGGUAGAAUUCCAGGUGUAGCGGUGAAAUGCGUAGAGAUCUGGAGGAAUACCGGUGGCGAAGGCGGCCCCCUGGACGAAGACUGACGCUCAGGUACGAAAGCGUGGGGAGCAAACAGGAUUAGAUACCCUGGUAGUCCACGCUGUAAACGAUGUCGAUUUGAAGGUUGUGGUCUUGAGCCGUGGCUUUCGGAGCUAACGCGUUAAAUCGACCGCCUGGGGAGUACGGCCGCAAGGUUAAAACUCAAAUGAAUUGACGGGGGCCCGCACAAGCGGUGGAGCAUGUGGUUUAAUUCGAUG